rnacentral:rRNA from 1 species
CCUACGGGAGGCAGCAGUGAGGAAUAUUGGUCAAUGGGCGAGAGCCUGAACCAGCCAAGUCGCGUGAGGGAGUACUGCCCUAUGGGUUGUAAACCUCUUUUGUCGGGGAGCAAAAGCCGGACGUGUCCGGCUGUGAGAGUCCCAGAAGAAAAAGCAUCGGCUAACUCCGUGCCAGCAGCCGCGGUAAUACGGAGGAUGCGAGCGUUAUCCGGAUUUAUUGGGGUAAAAGGGUGCGCAGGCGGAUUUUUAAGUCAGCGGUCAAAUCGUGGGGCUCAACCCCAUCCAGCCGUUGAAACUGGGGAUCUAGAGUGUGCGAGAGGGAUGCGGAAUGCGUGGUGUAGCGGUGAAAUGCAUAGAUAUCACGCAGAACCCCGAUUGCGAAGGCAGCAUACCGGUGCACAACUGACGCUCAGGCACGAAAGCGUGGGUAUCGAACAGGAUUAGAUACCCUUGUAGUC